UUGAAUUCAGUCCCCUCCGUUGUCGUCGUUGACGCUGCGGCAGUGAGAUCAGCAAAGCAUCUCGGCUGGGCUUCCGGGGCUCCAAUCCCCCCGAUCUCUCCCCGUCCCCUCCUCUGCCUCGAGUGUUGUGCUUUCCUGCCUCUUAUUCCGAUGCCGCCACCACGGCGGGUGGACGUUGUCCGGCUCAGUGGGUGUUGAGCGGCGCUGACCUGGAAGCUGGAGGUGGGCUCCAUGUAUCCGGAAUCCACCACGGACUCUCCGGCUAGAUUCUCCAACAGGCAGACGGGAUCCCCAGGCAUGAUCUACAGCGCUCGCUACGGGAGUCCCAAAAGACAGCUCCAGUUCUACAGAAACCUCGGCAAGUCGGGACUGAGGGUGUCCUGCCUCGGACUAGGUAAAGCCCCAAAGGAUAGAGACAUCCAUAGAUCCACAGAGCAAUACAUUCUGUAACUGUGCUUGCUUCUCUGCACACACACACACACACAUAUAUAUAUAUAUAAGUAUAAAGGUUUAUAUAUAAAUAUACAUAUAUUUAUUUAUAUAUAUGAUUUUUUUCUAUAUAAAUAUAUAUAUAU
rnacentral:lncRNA from 11 species